rnacentral:rRNA from 1 species
UACGUAGGGGGCAAGCGUUGUCCGGAUUUAUUGGGCGUAAAGAGCGUGUAGGCGGCCAGAUAGGUCAGCUGUGAAAACUCGAGGCUCAACCCUCGAGACGUCGGUUGAAACCAUCUGGCUAGAGUCUGGAAGAGGAGAGUGGAAUUCCCGGUGUAGCGGUGAAAUGCGCAGAUAUCGGGAAGAACACCCGUGGCGAAGGCGGCUCACUGGACCGGUACUGACGCUGAGGCGACGAAGCGG